rnacentral:lncRNA from 1 species
UUCCAAUAUUCGUCGCAUAAGGAGCCUUCUUUGUCUGUGAAGGAAAAACACACUGAUUAUCAUCAUGAGGUACCCAGUGCCCCCACAAGCCCCUUCUGGAGUCUCCAUCUCCUGCCAAGCGUCCUCCAAUGCCUUCUCCUGUGGGCCUGGCUUCAGGGCUGAGGACAGACAUGUCCUGUACCAGAGACCCCUCGUGAUCAGGCCCUGCUACGUGGGCCGUGGCCUGGCUGAAUCAGCUGAAGAGCUGCAGAUGGAAGUGGAGGAAGCGCCCCUGAUGGGACCCACCACCCCGGACCCGAGCCUUCCUUCUUCCUGGUUUGGGCCGACGCCAUCACCUGGAUUUCUGCGUGGGAAGGGACCUCGAAUGUGGGACCCCAGCCCCCUCCAGCUUGAAAUCCCUCCACAGCCACGGGGACGCCCUGCACCUAUUCCCACGGGACAGGCUGGACCCAGAGACUCUGGACCCGGGGCACCCCCUUGAGUAGAGACCCGCCCUCUGACUGAUGGACGCCGCUGACCUGGGGUCAGACCCGUGGGCUGGACCCCUGCCCACCCCGCAGGAACCCUGAGGCCUAGGGGAGCUGCCGAGCCUUCGGUGUCUGCAUGCGGGGAGUGGUGGGCUGGUUCACCUACCUCACAGGGCUGUUGUGAGGGCACUGUGAUGCGGCAAAGCACAGGGCUUGGCACACCCCACUGUGCUCUCAAUAAAUGUGUUUCCUGUCUUAACAAACAGUGAUGGAUGUGCUACUAAUAUAGGGAGAGUGAGUGUUGGGUGUUCUGUCUCUCGGGCAGUGUGAUGGGUGGGAGGGUGGGGAAUCGGCUGGAACCCCAUGCAGCUGCCAGCACCCUGCCCUGCCCACUGGGCUCUCAAGGGGAGGGUGCUUUUUAGAGGUCCAGAGGUUGACUCAUACUUGGAUGAACUAACAGCUCUCCGGUCCCCUCCUUCUGUGGAUCGUGGGAUGCCAGGCUUCUUUCCAGAAGGGAUGGUACAGGAGGAGGUGGGGCAAGUCCGGCUUUGGUGGUGGAGAGGGGUUCUGAGCUCAGCUCACUGCCUUGGUUCCUGGAGCCCCAGAGAGGAAGCUCCCCUGGGGCUUUGAGUCUUCCUCCUCCUCCUCUUCCCACAAUCCCCAGGGCCGGGCUGAGUGGUCAACAUGCUUGAACUGAUGUCGGGUGAUGGCCAAGAUGGCCCAGUCAGGCUGGGGCCAGUCAUUCCUCAAAAUGGCUCCUGAGCAGGGCUGCAAAGGUGGAGCCUCAGACCCAUCCCUGCCCAUGGCAGGAGUGCUGGCCAAGCUGGAAGGUGAGUCUUGCACCCCCAGAGCAGCUGGGCUGAGCAGGGGCACUGAGGGGCAAGGGGCUGAAGGGCACUAGGCCCAAGUUAAGAUGGAUCCUGAGUCCGCACACCUGGCU